AUUUCAUUUUCAUUCAUUUUCUUUUUCUUCUUUUUUUUGUCAUUUUCAGAUCAACUAUGUCUUGGAUGUGAGUAAACCAGCCAAUGAGCUGAUAGUUAAGGAGGGAUCAGUUUGCCUUACCCGAGACAAUUUGUUGUCUCUUGGUCUGCAAAGGAACAUGGACUCGUUUGUGGGUACCACUCUUGUUGAGUCAACACCCUAUUUUAAUUUGUGGAAGUAAUGCUAAAAGCAAUAUUUUAACACUUUUUAAACAGGUAGGAGAUGCAUGCUUGGAUGUUGUGCAUAGCAUGGCACAAAAUCAAGUAUGAUUUUGACUACUUCCAACAUGUAACAGUGUAGCCAAUCAAUUGCACUGUAUUGAAGUUUAAAGCUUUGUAUUGUUUUGCAGGGAAAAAACAUAUUUAUUUCCACAUUGCAUAUCCCACCAACUUGGCUCCCACCUGCACACUGUGAUCCUCUAAUUUCUCUCCCAGAAGAUGCGUCUAAGAAAGAAGCUCUUUUUUUCCCACUAUGGGUUCCAAGACACUAUAUGCUAUGUGAAACUUGGACAGAAUCUUGUCCUUGGAAAAUGGUCAGAAAAAACUGGAAGUGAUUUAAAGGGAGUUCCUGUGCAAGAUUAUGGGAAUGACUGCGGUAUCUUCAUGAUCAUGGCGAGUUAACAAUUGUAGCUUAAACAAAUUACAAGAUUAAAUUGACAAAAUUAUGUACAAAAAAAGUUAUAAAAGUACACAUUCAUUUUAACACAAUUUUAUGCUCUUCACCUAUACUGCAUGACAAAAAUUUUAUUGAAAAUAUUUAUUUUAUAUGCAGUACAUCUGGUAUAUGGCAAUGGAGGCUUAUUUUGAUUUCACUGUGGUAAGUGUUGCUUAAAAUUGACAUUAUACAGAUUUCUAAAAACAAGAUAACCUCUUAAUCAUUUCACGUAGGUGUAAUCUUGUAGAUACUGACUUGCUGAAUUGUGGUUAUGUGAUUAACUGAUUUGAGUGUUACAGUUUAUAUGAAUUGUUUUAGAGGAGAGUUCUGAUGGAGAAUUUUCAUCUAGAAGAGUAUUUUUUUAUUUUUUAUUAUUUGAAUUAAAUGCUUUUAAUGCAACCGUUUAAAUAAAACCAAAAGGUCUUAUUUUCA
ensembl:lncRNA